AGCGAACGCUGGCGGCAGGCCUAACACAUGCAAGUCGAACGAACUCUUCGGAGUUAGUGGCGGACGGGUGAGUAACACGUGGGAACGUGCCUUUAGGUUCGGAAUAACUCAGGGAAACUUGUGCUAAUACCGAAUGUGCCCUUCGGGGGAAAGAUUUAUCGCCUUUAGAGCGGCCCGCGUCUGAUUAGCUAGUUGGUGAGGUAAAGGCUCACCAAGGCGACGAUCAGUAGCUGGUCUGAGAGGAUGAUCAGCCACAUUGGGACUGAGACACGGCCCAAACUCCCACGGGAGGCAGCAGUGGGGAAUCUUGCGCAAUGGGCGAAAGCCUGACGCAGCCAUGCCGCGUGAAUGAUGAAGGUCUUAGGAUUGUAAAAUUCUUUCACCGGGGACGAUAAUGACGGUACCCGGAGAAGAAGCCCCGGCUAACUUCGUG
rnacentral:rRNA from 1 species